GACGAACGCUGGCGGCAUGCUUAACACAUGCAAGUCGAACGGAAAGGCCCUGCUUUUGUGGGGUGCUCGAGUGGCGAACGGGUGAGUAACACGUGAGUAACCUGCCCUUGACUUUGGGAUAACUUCAGGAAACUGGGGCUAAUACCGGAUAGGAGCUCCUGCUGCAGGGGGGGGGUUGGAAAGUUUCGGCGGUUGGGGAUGGACUCGCGGCUUAUCAGCUUGUUGGUGGGGUAGUGGCUUACCAAGGCUUUGACGGGUAGCCGGCCUGAGAGGGUGACCGGCCACAUUGGGACUGAGAUACGGCCCAGACUCCUACGGGAGGCAGCAGUGGGGAAUAUUGCACAAUGGGCGGAAGCCUGAUGCAGCAACGCCGCGUGCGGGAUGACGGCCUUCGGGUUGUAAACCGCUUUCGCCUGUGACGAAGCGUGAGUGACGGUAAUGGGUAAAGAAGCACCGGCUAACUACGUG
rnacentral:rRNA from 1 species